AUUGAACGCUGGCGGCAGGCCUAACACAUGCAAGUCGAGCGAGCGGCGGACGGGUGAGUAAUGUAUGGGGACUGCCCGAUAGAGGGGGAUAACUCCUGGAACCGGUGGCUAAUACCGCAUACUAUCGGAUAACCCAUAUGGGAUUAUCUAGUAGGGGGGGUAAAGGCUCACCUAGGCGACGAUCUCUAGCUGGUCUGAGAGGAUGAUCAGCCACACUGGGACUGCGAAACGGCCCCGACUCGUACGGAGGCAGCAGUGGGGAAUAUUGCACAAUGGGCGCAAGCCUGAGGCAGCCAGGCAGCGUGUAUGAAGAAGGCCUUAGGGUUGUAAAGUACUUUCAGCGGGGAGGUGUUACCCGCAAAAGAAGCACCGGCUAACGCCGUGCCAGCCGCUGCGGUAAUUC
rnacentral:rRNA from 1 species